ensembl:lncRNA
AAUUUUUAAAUGAUGCUUUGGGAUGAUUUAUUUACAAAGGCGUGAAAGUCCAUGCUGGAUGCUAGAUCUUAAGUAACAAACAUGCAGAGAGCAUGGGAUAUUUAGUCUGUUAAAGGGAGAAGUCUCACUAAAUAAGUUGUUUCACACUGAAGAGACUCAGGAAACACAGCCACAGGUGCCUCUUGUUGGAGAACCUUAACACAGCUGUAGUGUUAAGGUGAUCAAACGGAGAGAUAUUUAUAUAAAAUAAGCACAGCCCAAAUGCUCCCCCAUCUGCCAGAAUAUCUGUGUGACUCUGUUAGUGUUGAUUUGUGAUAUUUUUCAAGUUUAUGUUUUCCAGAAGGAUAAUCAAACCAUGAUUUCAUAUCACACUGUUCACUGGUUCAACUAACAUGUUUCAUUAGUAAGUGAACCUCGCUAAUAAGUUUCUCCUAACUCGGAAAAGGGUUUGAAAUUUUGUGAAUCGAGGCUCUAAAUGAGACUCCUUUGCCUGCCUCUGCGGAAUCCAUGGCAAAAUAAGAUCACAGCUGUUGCAGGGUUUCCAUGUUUAAAUAAUGCAGAUCUCUAUUAAUCGGAAGUGUGAGAAAUGUUUAAAAAUGUAUCUUAGCCUAAUUCAGGAAAUCAUUGCAGCAUCUGACCAAUUUUAAGCUUAGCUAAUUGCAUGCUGAAGGCUUUUGAUUUCCAAGGUUAUGUAUGUGGAGAAAUAACAACUAAAAUAGUCAUACUUAGAAACCACCUGUGCCUUUUUGGAUAAUAUUAAGCCCAGUUAACAUUAGUAAAAUGAACGCUGACUAAUUCUUGAAUGGAAGACUGUUGGCUGAAAUAUUGCACAUAGUCAUGCACGCCUGUAGAGUUAAUGAAGCUUUAGGAAUGUUGUUAGGGAAGUGCAAAUGCCUUUGUUGCUUCCAUCAAUAGCGUUGGUGCCCCCUGGGUCUGCAUCAGUUCCAUAUUUACAGCAGAGCACUGGCAGGUAUUCCUGCAUAGGUGAAGUGCCCCAUAGUCGUUACAGAGAACUGAACAUUUGUGAUUUUGCCUCUGAGUUAAAUUUCUUUAAGGAUCAUCAGAAUGCACUGUAUGUCAAAAUGUAUGAGUGAAGAACUGCCCCUUAAGUUACUAAGAGGUCUUUAAAAACCUGAAUGCUUAAAACAAACAUUCACUUUUAUAUAUAAGUCCAUGGUAAUAAGGUCAGUACUUCAGAUUGCACACUCUCAGAGACCUCCGUCCCUUGAAGAAAUGUAGCUGUGAAGAAGAACUUGUGCUGAAAUCAAGUCGCUUGGAGUGCAGAGUGCCAUUCAUCAGAGCUGUGCUUUUCUUGGAAGUUGGCUUCACGAGUUGUCUGCUUGCCCUGCGUGUUGUUUGGUAAUUCGGUCAUAAGAAUGUCAGACCACUCUACUGUGGCAGUAGAGCUGCAUUGGUUGGAAAUUACAGGUAUAAAACUGGAGGUUAACUUGACCAGGGUGUUACUCUGUGCAGCAGUCAGUUGGUAAGCAAGGUUUACAUCCAGAUGAGGUGAUGCUACGCACUGCACAAAGACUUGCUCAGUUCGUUUUUAUUGUGGAGCUGGUCCUUGGCUUCUCUCAAGGUUACGAGAAGAUUCUCAUCUCCUCUACAGCUGAUGCUUUUGUUCAGCCUGAGAGUUAACACUCGUUUCUUUUCUCAAAAUGAAAUUUACAGCAGCCUUCUUUGGCCACAGAAGUGUAAAAUUUGAGCAUUUUAUAUAUAGAGAGAGAGAGAACAGAAAACCUAAAUACUUAGUGUCAUUAACAAUAUCAAAAUGUAUGGCCACAUUCAGCCCCAGUGCAGGAACUAAUUUACAAAUAUUUCAUCAUUAAGCACUUUCACCCCUUCAACAGCACAAUCUAAUGUGAAUAAAGUAUUUCCAUCUUCACCAAGUUCUUUUUCUACUUUGCUUCUGAGCUGCUGGGGUCAGCACAGAGUGGCCAUUCCCUCCGGGCAUGGUUCCACACUUUCUUGUUCCUGUAGCCCUGCUGAUCCGUCAGACAAUCUGCAGAAGUGAUAAUUUAUAAACAGAGUGACAGGAAUGGGGCACUGAAGUUCACCAAGCACAGGAUGCUGAGUUUCAGCAGUUUAUCAGCAAGUCAAGGUUUUUACUCCUCUAGGUUAUACGAUCCCAUUGCCUGUUGAGCUCAUUUUGUCUCUCUACUUACGACACGUUCAUAAAAGCAGGCUGAGGUACUAAAUGCAGAUGUUGUAAGGUUUUAAGCACAUGUAUUGCAGUAAAACAUUUAAAACAAAAAACUAAAAACAAGGGCAAAUAAAUAAUAAAAAUGCCCCCCCCCAAACAAACAAACAAACAAAAAACCAACAACAAUAACAAAAAAGAGGAACAGUUAUCAGGGGGAAUAAGAAUUGAGCAAAACACAUUCUCCAAGUAAUGUCACACUUUCUGUUACGAUUUGUUUAAAAAUGAGUGUCUAUUUGAGUCCACAUUAAACUUAAUGUGCUCUAGUUGGGUUUUACAUCCCGUGGUGUGCUGUGUUGUUCAAAGCAUGAGGAAUAUGGAACAGAUGGCUUGGGAAGGCUGUCAAAAAACCUGCUGGGCCUUUUCUGGUGUUACCUUCAAGCAAGAGAAGGGAUGAGUAAAUGUGCUGUACUUUUUGGCCUUAGCACAGCAUUCAGUAAGCUGAGUCUUCUGAAGGGAUGCUUACUCAAUCACAGCAACAGAUAUCAAAACAAAUAUCUAUUUGGGAGCAAUGAAACAAUAAAAAAUAUUUUAAAUUGAGAUGCGUAAUGGAGAGAAGAAAAGGGAAAAUUGCAGCGGAGGAGUAGGGAAGCGCAGACGUUUGCUUGAAGGGGCUCAUCACAGGGCUGAAUAAUGCAGAGAAAUAAAUCUAUUCAGGAGUCUCACCAUCCAUCUUUAGAUGUUUUAAACGCAGUGUGGUAGAAGCUAAUCUUGCAGUCUUUAAUUUUGAUAUAUUUUCUAAAAAUUACGAUUUCAGAGGUCUCCCUGUGGAAAUAGCAGCUGCGCCCUCAAGACCUGCUUUGUUUUUUGGCUUCAAACACCCCGAGCACGUAGGAUCUUCUGGCUAAAAUCAAACUGUGCAUUUUGCAGACAGAAUCUUAGGCAUGAAAAUCAGACCCCAGUGUAUAAACCAGAGUUUACAAAAUACUGUGUAUUUUUAGGAGUUAUUUGAUAAACUGAGAAUGUAUGCACGCACGUUUUUGGUGUUAAAAAUAGUACGCAAUACAGACUCCUCGUGUGCUUGUCCACUGAGAUUUGUUUUUUGGAAUCUCAUUCCCACAGCUGCAUACUGUCUUUUUUAACUCUGAUGGAGAUAAGCAGACGUUGUAUUUCAAGACAAAUUGACUAAAAAUUCUACAGUCAGUUGUAUUAAAAAAAUGCAUUCUGCCUUUGGGUUCCUUGCUUACAGAAAUGGUUUCCUUACAGAACCUCAGAUUAGUAAAUAACAGUUAGAAAUGUGAAUGUUGCAGAGUAAGGAAAACAGUGUUCUUUGCUGGUUGCUGAAUUUCUCUUAACUAUAAAAAUGUCCAUCCAAAAUGGUCACUGAGAGCUGCAUUUCUUGUGUUACAAAGUGAGUGUCACGGUUUGCAACUUAUCUGCUCUUGAUGGAUUCCUUUACAUAUUAUCAUUGUUCAGUCAUCUGCUAAAGCUGAAGUGUGCAGCAGUAUUUUAUUUUCCAUGGCUCUGCAAUGCAUUUAUCUCAGAGCUUUGGGACAUGAAUACCUGUUGAAGAUGGUUCUACAACACCUAAGUUUGUCUGUCAUUUGGAAAAUACACCUUUAUCCUGUUUCCCCUGAGUCUGUCUUGGUGCUGGUUUUUCGUUUCCAUGUUUUAGGAAAAUCCUAUAGAUGUUGUUAUGUUACCACUCUGAAAAGGAAAAAAAAAGAGGGGAAGAAACAUGUAAAAUACCGUUGAACUCAUUUUGCUUGUAGUUUUGAAUAGCUUUUCAAUUAGAAUGAUUUUCCCAGAUUUUUUAUAGGCUUGCCCAAUCCAGCUGUAUAUUUUAUAUGCUAAUCUGAGUUCUAUUUUUGUUCCCCUUGGGAUUUAAAGUGAUUAUAAUUGUUGCUCUUCAAAAGCCAAACAGAUGAUGAUUGCUGCUUCAGGAAUAUACCAAAAGAAACUGGCUUUCAUUAAACCUGCUCAUCCACUUCAUAAUUAUCUCCAUUUGAUCUCACUAAGAAGCAGGAAAAUGGCAACUACAGUUCACUGAAGCCAGCUCGGUUAUUUAAACAUCACUUUACUGAGAUAACAGGAGGUGUUAAAGCAGGGGGCCUUUUUCCUUUCAGGCACUAAGACAUAGCCAGCACUACAAUAGCGUUGCCAACUGGGAGGCCAUACCCUUCCAGUCAGCUUGAAAUGCAGUACCAGAGGCCAGAGAUGGCAGGAGAUACCAUCUCUGGAGGGUGGCUGGGGCCACUCCUGGAGGACACACAUAAAGCAGGCUGACAGUGAUGUUGCACGGCAUCUGCUUGUCUGACCCCUCUGCAAGAAACGAGAAAUCAGACAUUUCCAAGCACCAGAAAAAUCAUAGACCUGUGGACUUAUCAGAGAUGCUAGAAUCCAAAGAGCAGAACUUGGUCAACAUUCCCGUGUUCUCUGGAGAUGAAGGAUGGGCUGACUCUCCUUUCCUUCUUUAUUAGCUCAAGAAUGACAUUCCCGGAAAAAAAAAAAUCAGUUCUGAAGAAUGUAGAAGAUGGAUUCCAAAUCAAGCCUACACUUCUCCACCUUCUCAGUAUGAAUCUCUCCCACCCAAAGCAAACCCAGGGGAGCAGCUUCUGAUUCCUCUUUCAGGUGCACAAAGGCAGCCUCUCCCUAAAAUACCACAUUCUAACGUACUAUCUUCACUUGUUGUUAAUAAACCUGCUCCAUCCAGGUGUACUUUUAAAUACUGACAUGCACUUAAGAGGCACACUACAUUGAAGCUAUGGUAAAACUCUACCCAAGUACAAGCUAAAAAUAGUUCAUCUCUCUUUCUUCCAUAUAAAACAUGGAAAACUGAGUUAAUCUGAGUAGAACAUGCUCAGUGAGAAUAAAAGUGUGUUACACGUUACCCAAUGCAUUUGCAUUACGUGCAAAUAUGCAGUGUGUAUAUUUAUUACAUAGUAAUGUGCAUACAUACGCAAGUGCAUAGUUAUUACAUAGUAAGUUUCUCCAAUCCAAGCCACCAAUUCAAAAUAAGAAAAUCCAGCAAAGUUUUAGCCUACUCAAAGAUGUUAAAGAAACAGAGGGAUCUGAAUACAUCCCAAGAAAGACAGAAAGAAUUAACAAGGUCCCACAUGAAGACAAGUAGAUAUACAUAUCUGGGAGGUAAAUGGUGAAAAGAUGGAUAUAAUAUUCAUCAUUAAUUAUUAUAUUCUUGUUCUGAAUGCUCCAUGGCAGUAAUAGGAAUAUUUUACAAGGAUUAAGGAGGAUCUUUAGCCUGGAAGUAUUAAAUAAUUGUGGAGUGACCUAGCAUUUAUCCUUUGUCUUAGAAUAGCAUCUAGGAGCAAUGAUUAAGUGCUAACUGGAAUAAAUACAGCUAGCUCUUUUCAACCUCAAGAUUUGCCACAUAGGGGGAAAAAAAAAGAGAAAAAAUGGCUGGAUGAAAAUAUGAAGUAAGCCUUUUUACAGGACUUGUAGUAAUUAUAUCUUCGGUAUUUUUCUUCUUUGACCAUCUUUUAUGCACACUGGAAACAAGGAUCUCAUCUCAUGUCCUUCAGAAGAACGUGUUUUCAAAAUGUGAAGAAUCCAGCCAUCCCAUAAUUCUGUCCCUCUGUUACCUGUCGAUUCAAGCUCUGUAUGGUUAAUGUAACUUGAAGGAGGAAGGCAGGUCUUAGGGCUGGAAUACAAAUUUGAGUAUUAAGAAAGAUACUUCAGAUUUACUUUUAACAUGAUGGGAAUUCAUUUUCUGAUUUGUGCUAAAUAUCACCUGGCUUUAGGUCUCAUAAUUUAUCUCACGUAUCAUGUCUAGGGUGUAGCAAAUGACCCAUCUAUGACCGUGGAAACAUUUGGAAAGAAAAAUGAGUGGAGAUUUUGUUCUAUCGAGACAGCACUGAAGCACACCCGUUCCUAUCAAUAGGAUCUAUUUCUAGACCAUUAAAAUCAAAUCCAUCCCAUCUAAAAUGUAGAAUUUUGGCCCCUCAUAGAGGUGGAGUUUGGUAGAUAUGGACAUUUAUGCUACGGAUCCAGUAGUUUCAGCUCUUAAGUUUUCAUCAGUGAGUUACUAUGUCACAACCUCUGAAUGACCAAAUGGGAAUUGUGAAAAGGUGCCUAACAUUUCAGAAUGCAACUGGUCUGCAGCUGGCAGGCAUUUCCUCAGUUCAGACAAAAAAUAAAGUCACUAAAAAUCAACAGCUGAAUGAAUAUUCAAAGGCAUUUUGAAGAUGGAGGUGUAGGAAAUAAAAAUAACCAAUUUUUGAAUUAAUCUAAAAAAAAAUGGAAUGUAAAUAGUUUAUUUCACUGGACUUGCAUUUUCUUGGUUUCAGUGUCUAUUGACUAUGAGGAAAAAUGUGUAGAAGACUUAAAUAGUACUUCAUAGCUUUAUUCUCAGGCUGUCAAAUGUAUUCCUUGGGAUUGGGAUUUUUCAAGGGGUUUCAAUUCAUUCAAUUGAUUAUAAAAGCCAAAUAUAUAUAUAUAUAUAUAUAUAUAUAUAUAUAUAUAUAUAUAUAUUCAUUUUGGUGGUGGAGGAUGGUGGUGUAAACCCCUAAGGAACUUCAGGAUAUCGAAGAAUCUGUCCUAGCUCUCUGAGAACAAAUGAAGUGUAUAUAUAAGUUUGAACCUGCGAUCCAGUACGUAAUUACCUUACAGAAUAUUUCCCAGUUGUUAAUCCAAAGUUUACAUGCUGUGAAUUAAGCCAUUUUCCUUUUUUUUUUUUUUUCCCAACGGAUGGUGCACUUGAAGACUCUUUGAUCACAGUCUGUCAAUAGUGAUACAGUUUAAUAGAUCCUUUGCCACUGUUCCAAUUUUAAACACAUUCUCUCUUAAAAUAUCUCUAUAUCCAUGUUUUGUACAACCUUGUGGUCUCUCCCCACUUUUCUUAAAACCUGGACUGAUUGGGUACAGUGACAGUGUUCACUUUUGGACUCAUCAAUGCCAAACAGAAAAUGCAUUCACGUAUGUCUUUUCAAAUCACAUCUCAGGGUGAAAUCUCUUUUCUAUUUUUUUCAGCACCACAUUCCCAAGACUCUGUGUGGUGAACCUGUGUCGCUCAUCCUCUUCCUCAGUGCUGUUGUAAUUCUCUGUUUAUUUUUUUCACAUUUUAUUAUGAUCUUUCUUUCCUAAUAAUUAAAGCCACUUGCCACUUAUCUUUAUUUGGCUUUAUCUUGCUGGUCUGUCUCUCUGUUUUGAAGUGACCAUUUAGUAUUCAGCACUUAAGCACCAAAUGUUAAGCACCAAACCUCUGCUUUUGCUGCAGUCCAUUUUUGUACCCACUGUGUUCCAUCCUCUGAAUCACAGACAGAAGUGCUCAAUUUGCCGUGAAUGAUAUUCUCCAAUAAAAAGUUAUUUGAUGUGGCCAUCCAUUUUUCCCAGUGAGCUAUAGCAAAAUAUCCUCUGGAUAUAUUUUUGUAUACUGGUUUUAUUGUAAUUUAAUUAAUACUAUCUUUUCUUGUUAUCCCAUGAGAAUGCAGUGUGGGUUGGCAACUAAAAGCUUUAAAAUCAACAUAUACUACUUCUCUGCCUUUUGCAAUGUGCUAUGCUUGUAGAAGGAAAUAGGUUUUGUCUGACAAUUUGUUCCUGGCACAUGAAGUGUUUCUUAUUGCUAUAAUUUUAUGAUCUUCUUUUGAAUUAAUAAACAGCAUGUUUUGGCAUGUUGAAAUAAGUAUGAGUGGUGUCCCUUUUCCUGCAUCUCUUUUUACAAAAGGAAACAGUAUAGUACCUUUGAAUCCAUUCUGAAGUGUGUAUGCAUAUUAGCUAAUGAGCAGAUACAUGGAAGAAUUUUUAGCAAUGGGUAAAUAUCCUUGUCAACAUCAGAAUAAUUGGCUGUAAUCUUAUCACAUAUUUUAUUCCAAUAAAUCAUAUUACUGCUCUGUUCAUUGCUGUUAGUUGGAAUAACCUUUUAGAUAUUUGCAGCUACAUGAUCAUUUACGGUCUGGAUUUUGCUGAUGACUCAUAUCCAGCAGAAUCACAGUAGUACAGAGCUCUGCAGAAUACUUCUGAUGCAAGAAACUGAGUUGUAUAAGCAGAAGAAACAAAACCUCCAUCAUUUAAAGGCGAGAAAACUAGGCCAGCACCAGUGAAAGACAGUUAAGUCAUCCACAAUGAGUAAUUCUGACAUUAAAGAGAAGAUAAUGUGGUUAUUUAGAAUAUUUUCAGCCUGGUCCAUAAAAGUAAAAUCUUGAUGAUCACUGUGAGAUGCUCUUUGGAAGUGCAAUUGGGUGGGUCUUCAUAACUAAGGAGUGCAAGGAGUAAUCAGAAAAGACUAAUUCUACUACAUUUGAAUAUUGCGUCACUGCCUCGUAAACCAACUGUAAUACAGGUGAUUUAUAUAAUAUCUGUAAAAGAAAAGUGUAAAGAACUGGGUGUAGUUUUGUCACAAGCAUAAAGGAGUACAUAUGAAGAAAGAGGCUUCUAAUGUAACAUUAAGAAAAAGUGUUUCUAAUAUCCCUUCUCAUGCAUGUAUAACUACUCAUCUACUCUCCACCACCAAGCCAUUAGAGUAGGUGUGCGUUAAAAAAAAGAUGAACUCCGUUCGGAGGAGGAGGGAAAUGUGCAAUCGUCAUAUAUCUUCAGAACCCAUACGUGUUAGGGCACUCUGUGUGCUGAAACAUAAUUGCCAGUUGGUUUCUUAUUAGCUAAACUGAGGGAAAAAAUGGAAAAAAAACUAAAGCUGAUAUUUAAUAUGAUACGGAAUGUAUUUCAGAAUUGUGCUACAAGGUCAAGAAAAAUCUGUCUGCUAUGCAUGUGAUCUGAUUAUCUGAAGGUCAUCUAAUUACAUAUUCUAGAAACACUCUGGAAUUUAUCAGGACUUAUUUGAUAAAAUAAUGGUAGCAAAAUCCUCCCCUUUAUUCCUCUGUGCUGUCAGCAGGAAAUAUGAUCGCAGACUAAAAAGCUCUAUUUGUGUAAUAUGUGUUUUUCCCUCAACAAAUGAAAACAUAUGCAUGCUUCCAAAAAAGCAAAAUCUAUCUCUUAAGUCAAUAUUGCUGUACCUUAGUACCGUAACAGGAUAUACUAAUUACUGUAAGUUUAUAACUAUGCCUCCUUUUCCUGGAGAAACUUGUUACGGUAGAAGACUAAUCUAACUGAAUUGACAGCAUUUGAGAUGAUUCACAGGAGAAUUUAAAAGCACUUGUUAUUUUUGGAUAACAAACAGCAUUAAAAAUAUUGAUCGCCUUUUUGCUUUCAAUUGCCUCUUUUACACAAGGUUAUUUCUCCUCACAUCUGCGCAGCACUUCGCGGGCAGGGCUGUGACUUCGGGCCCUGGUUACAUGUUCCCACAAAUUGGCAGAGGCAGGGUGACAUUGCUAUAGCUGAGUUCUUUCUCUCUGGUUUGUCACCUUCAUUACAAUACCUACCUGCAUGUGAGCUACUGAGUUGCAUCUGAAAUAAUACCAUUUAUUUUUGGCUUUUGCCACGGACGCUUGGCACUAAUUUCCGUGUGUUAAAGCUGCACAGUCCUCUCAAGUUCUUGUGUGAGUUCGACCUUACCAAUACAGUCUGCUCUUCACCACACUAUUAGAAGGGCCCCCAGAUUUCAGAGACAAGUACAAAAGUGUUUCCAGCAAUCUACAAGUGCUAAAGAGAUCUCUCUUCCCAUCCCAUCUUGUUUCCGUCUUUGCUGUUGAUUCUGGUAAUGCUUACAAUCCUAAAACAAGAAAGAAAUCAGCAAUUUCCUUGGUGCCUAUUGCUCCUUUUCCUCCUUGGUCGUCCCCCGUGUCAGACAUGUUUAAUUGACAGGCAAAGGCCAAGUGUAGGUGGUUGGAUUACCGGGAGGAUAGUAGUGGUCUCACCUCUCUGUCCUCCAUUUAACAAAUCUGAG